rnacentral:ncRNA from 1 species
UCCGAUAAAGGCAAACCCUGAGUAAUCAGGGGGCGCAAAGUAACAGGAUCUUUGAGCGUACACAUGGAUGUGGCGUAAGAUAGCCUUACUGCCGGAA